AUGAGGGCCCCUGCUCAGAUCCCGGAGCUCCUGCUGCUCUGGCUCCCAGUUGAUCCAGUCUCCAUUCCUGCCUACAUCUCUGGGGAAAGAGUCACCAUCACUUGCAAAGCCAGUCAGGUCAUUAGCAAUUAUUUACAUUCUUACCAGCAGAGAGCAAGGAAAGUUCCAAAGCUCCUGAUCUAUUUUGCACCUACUUGGCAAUCUGGGGUCCCAUGGAGGUUCAAUGGAAGUGGAUCUGGCACAGAGUUCACUCUCAGCAUCAGCAGCCUGCAGCCUCAAGAUUUUGCCACUUACUACUGUCAGCAGGGCAAUUAG